AAACCUGUGGAAAAAGUUUCAGUGAAGGAGGUAGUUUGAAAGUCCACAUGAGAACUCACACAGGUGAGAAGCCGUCAUUCUGAAACAUCUGUGGAAGAAAUAACUUUAACAGGUUGAAUGUUUUACAGCAGCUUCAGACUGUGCUUCAACAAUAAUUGUGAGGAAAUAUGUCAGCAGUCCUUGAUGAUUAGACCAGAUGGAGUCUGGAUGGUGGUGGUGGUGGAGCCAGGAGAAGAACCAGGCUGAUCAUCUGGAUAAAUGUAGUACUGGUACAGGCUGCUGUAUUUUUGGUAUCAUCCUUCAUCCUUCAUCAGCGUAGCAGUGAUGUGAGAUUUUGUGAAGCUCUUUGGAACAUUUUCACAUCCUGCUGGAAGAACAUGGCUGAAACUGUGUGAAAACUACAGCCAUAUGUCAUGAAUUUAAUCUGUCAUCUGUUUGUUCCUCAUCAGUGAUUUAUUUCUUGAUGCAUUAUUGGAAAUGCUAAAUUUGUUUUAAACUCCAUAUUGAUUGUAAAUAAACUUUAAACAACUGUCUGCAGCUCCAUGAGUGCUUUGUGAAAUGUUAUGAAUGUAUUUAAACAGAUUAACAUUUACAACAUGUUUAAUAAUGACUUUAACGCUGAUGAGCCCCAGCAAAGGUGUUAUGUUAUGAAGCAACACACAAUUGGUUUUACUGGUUGUAGUUGAUACACACCCACAAACGUUAAAAAAAACAAAACAAAAAAAAACGUGUCAAGCCGGGUUGAACUUUCUGCUGUUUCAAUAAAGACCUUGUGUUAUUUCUUUCUUCUUUAAUCACCA